UACGUAGGGGGCUAGCGUUGUCCGGAAUCAUUGGGCGUAAAGCGCGUGUAGGCGGUCCGGUAAGUCCGCUGUGAAAGUCGGGGGCUCAACCCUCGGAUGCCGGUGGAUACUGCCGGGCUAGAGUCCGGGAGAGGCGAGUGGAAUUCCUGGUGUAGCGGUGGAAUGCGCAGAUAUCAGGAGGAACACCUAAGGCGAAGGCAGCUCGCUGGAACGGUACUGACGCUGAGGCGCGAAAGCGUGGGGAGCAAACAGG
rnacentral:rRNA from 1 species